rnacentral:tRNA from 1 species
GGUGGGGUCGCAUAGUUUGGUUCAUUGCGCCUGCUUGGAGAGCAGGUGUGUCGCAAGACACACGCGAGUUCAAAUCUCGCCCCCACCG